AGAUUGAACGCUGGCGGCAUGCCUUACACAUGCAAGUCGAACGGUAGAGUAGCAAUACUCGAGAGUGGCGAACGGGUGAGUAAUAUAUCGGAACGUGCCCAGUCGUGGGGGGAUAACGUAGAGAAAUUUACGCUAAUACCGCAUACGAUCUACGGAUGAAAGCGGGGGAUUCGCAAGAACCUCGCGCGAUUGGAGCGGCUGAUAUCAGAUUAGGUUGUUGGUGAGGUAAAAGCUCACCAAGCCGACGAUCUGUAGCUGGUUUGAGAGAACGACCAGCCACACUGGGACUGAGACACGGCCCAGACUCCUACGGGAGGCAGCAGUGGGGAAUUUUGGACAAUGGGCGAAAAGCCUGAUCCAGCAAUGCCGCGUGCAGGAAGAAGGCCUUCGGGUAGUAAACUGCUUUUUGUAACGGAACGAAACGGUCCUUUCUAAUAAAGAAGGCUAAAUGGACGGUAACCGUAAGAAUAAGUACACGGACUAACUACGUAGCCAGCA
rnacentral:rRNA from 1 species